CUUGGAAGCAGCCAUUCAUUUAAAGAGUGCGUAACAGCUCACUAGUCGAGGAGUUUGGCGUGGAUAAUAAUCGGGCAUUAAGUGUUUUACCGAAGCUAUGGGAUCAGUAAUGAUCGGUAGGGGAGCAUUCCACUCUGCGUCGAAGGUGAAGCGUGAGCUUUGCUGGAGCGUGUGGAAAAGCAAAUGUAGGUAUAAGUAACGAUAAAGGGGGUGAGAAACCCCCUCGCCGAAAGACUAAGGUUUCCUGAUCAACGCUAAUCGGAUCAGGGUUAGUCGGGUCCUAAGGCUCAGCCGAACGGUGAGGCCGAUGGCAGAACAGGUUAAUAUUCCUGUACUACCUUAAGGAGUGACGUGGAGACGGAGCAGUGACAGCGCCGCGGACUGACGGAAUAGUCCGUUGAAGGGUGUAGAUGUUGAUCAUCCCAGGCAAAUCCGGGAUGAGAGUCGAACCUGAUAGUAUGGAGCGUUCUUCGGAACAAUCCAAUAGUGCGUGUAAGCAUACUCCCAAGAAAAUCCGCUAAACUUAAUCCUUAAGGUACCCGUACCGCAAACGGACACACGUAGUCGGGUUGAAUAUACUAAGGCGCUUGAGUGAUUCACGGUUAAGGAACUAGGCAAAUUGACCCUGUAACUUCGGGAUAAAGGGUCCCAACGAGAGUUGGGCGCAGAGAAUAGGUCCAGGCAACUGUUUAACAAAAACACAGGGCUGUGCCAAAUUGAAAGAUUACGUAUACAGCCUGACACCUGCCCGGUGCUGGAAGGUUAAGAGGAGAUGUCAUCGCAAGAGAAGCAUUGAAUUGAAGCCCCAGUAAACGGCGGCCGUAACUAUAACGGUCCUAAGGUAGCGAAAUUCCUUGUCGGGUAAGUUCCGACCUGCACGAAUGGUGUAAUGAUCUGGACACUGUCUCAACCGUGAGCUCAGUGAAAUUGUAGUAUCGGUGAAGAUGCCGAUUACCCGCGAUGGGACGAAAAGACCCCGUGAACCUUUACUAUAGCUUAACAUUGAAUUUGGGUAAUUGAUGUGUAGGAUAGGCCGGAGACUUUGAAGCAGGUACGCCAGUAUUUGUGGAGUCGCUGUUGAAAUACGGCCCUUUGAUUAUUUGAGUUCUAACUCGUAGUUGCGAGGACACUGUUUGGUGGGUAGUUUGACUGGGGUGGUCGCCUCCAAAAUAGUAACGGAGGCUUCUAAAGGUGCCCUCAGGACGAUUGGUAACCGUCCGUAGAGUGUAAUGGCAUAAGGGCGCUUGACUGGGAGACUAACAAGUCGAUCAGGUAGGAAACUAGAGCAUAGUGAUCCGGUGUUUCCGUAUGGAAGGGACAUCGCUCAAAGGAUAAAAGGUACUCCGGGGAUAACAGGCUGAUCCCUCCCAAGAGCUCAUAUCGACGGAGGGGUUUGGCACCUCGAUGUCGGCUCGUCACAUCCUGGGGCUGGAGAAGGUCCCAAGGGUUGGGCUGUUCGCCCAUUAAAGUGGCACGCGAGCUGGGUUCAGAACGUCGUGAGACAGUUCGGUCUCUAUCUAUCGUGGGCGUAUGAAAUUUGCGUGGCUCUGACACUAGUACGAGAGGACCGUGUUGGACUGACCGCUGGUUUACCAGUUGUGCCGCCAGGUGCAUUGCUGGGUAUCUAAGUCGGGAUUGGAUAAGUGCUGAAAGCAUCUAAGUACGAAGCCAGCCACAAGAUUAGAUUUCUUAGGGUCGUUAAAGACGAUGACGUUGAUAGGAUGCAGGUGUAAAGGUGGUAACAUCAAAGCCGAGCAUUACUAAUUGCCCGUUCACUUUCUU
rnacentral:rRNA from 1 species